GAAGGAAGCCAACUGACCAACUGGAACCAGUCAACCAGCUAACCGUCGCUCUCAGUUCCUGCUGUCAUUCGACUCGGACGGUCACAGCUUCUUUGUCCUCCCCGGUCCUGAGCAGAUCGCCCUGAACGUCUCCAGCCCUGUUCAGCGCCCACGUCCCGACCUCAUAAGCUUUCUCGCAGACCAGCUGUGAGAGAACGGUAGCGCAGUUCCUGUUGGUCUCCACUGUUUCGCUCUCUACUCGGCUAAGGCACCCGACUGUUGCGGCUCAACCAUGGGCGAAGAAUCGAUGAUGGAGUCCACCGCCGUCAGCGGAAUGAGCGGUAAGUCUCUACCGAUAUGAUGUUGCAUUCAAAGCCCAGCAAAUUGGCUUAGUCAAAC